GAAAUGCGAUAAGUAAUGUGAAUUACAGAAUUCAGUGAAUCAUCGAAUCUUUGAACGCACCUUGCACUCCUUGGUAUUCCUUGGAGCAUGCCUGUUUGAGUAUCAUGAAAUCUUCAAAGUAAAUCUUUUGUUAACUCAAUUGGUUUCUACUUUGGUAUUGGAGGUCUUUGCAGCUUCACACCUGCUCCUCUUUGUUCAUUAGCUGGAUCUCAGUGUUAUGCUUGGUUCCACUCGGCGUGAUAAGUUAUCUAUCGCUGAGGACACUGUAAAAGGUGGCCAAGGUAAAUGCAGAUGAACCGCUUCUAAUAGUCCAUUGACUUGGACAAUACUUUUAUGAUCUGAUCUCAAAUCAGGUAGGACUACCCGCUGAACUUAAGC
rnacentral:misc_RNA from 1 species